UACGGGGGGGGGCAAGCGUUGUUCGGAAUUACUGGGCGUAAAGGGCUCGUAGGCGGCCAACUAAGUCAGACGUGAAAUCCCUCGGCUUAACCGGGGAACUGCGUCUGAUACUGGAUGGCUUGAGUUUGGGAGAGGGAUGCGGAAUUCCAGGUGUAGCGGUGAAAUGCGUAGAUAUCAGGAGGAACACCGGUGGCGAAGGCGGGGUCUCUGGGCCGAUACUGACGCUGGAGGAGCGAAAGCGUGGGGAGCGAACAGG
rnacentral:rRNA from 1 species